rnacentral:misc_RNA from 1 species
GGAUUUGAAGAUGUUGAGCUUGCUAAUACACAUCAAAUCCUAUCAAUAAAUCUUUAUCAAGCAAAGUUGAUCCACUGACUUUUUGUCCAUAUGAUACAGUUUGGAAAGAACUGUAUUUCAAUGGGCUCUUUGGUAAUGAGGUUGGUGCGAAAUACUUUCCCAUCUGCGGCUUUAAAAUAUUCUGAAUAAGACAUCCAUGCUUCAUCAGGCAAUACUGAAGGAUUCAUCAUGUUUUUAUGGGCAUCAAUAUCAAGAAAACCAAUGAUAGGAAUUGGUCUUUCAUAUUUGGAAGGUAGGACAUGAAUGUGCACCAACGGAAUUGAGAUCAGGAGCUAUAUUGGAUGGCAUGACUGAAGAGUAUU